UGAUAGUUCAGUCAGUAGAGCAUGAGACUCCUAGUCUCUGGGUCAUGGGUUUGAGCCCCAUGUUGGGAAAA